GACGAACGCUGGCGGCGUGCUUAACACAUGCAAGUCGAACGGAAAGGCCCUGCUUUUGUGGGGUGCUCGAGUGGCGAACGGGUGAGUAACACGUGAGUAACCUGCCCUUGACUUUGGGAUAACUUCAGGAAACUGGGGCUAAUACCGGAUAGGAGCUCCUGCUGCAUGGUGGGGGUUGGAAAGUUUCGGCGGUUGGGGAUGGGCUCGCGGCUUAUCAGCUUGUUGGUGGGGUAGUGGCUUACCAAGGCUUUGACGGGUAGCCGGCCUGAGAGGGUGACCGGCCACAUUGGGACUGAGAUACGGCCCAGACUCCUACGGGAGGCAGCAGUGGGGAAUAUUGCACAAUGGGCGGAAGCCGGAUGCAGCAACGCCGCGUGCGGGAUGACGGCCUUCGGGUUGUAAACCGCUUUCGCCUGUGACGAAGCGUGAGUGACGGUAAUGGGUAAAGAAGCACCGGCUAACUACGUG
rnacentral:rRNA from 1 species